CUGAACUUGAAUCUCCUGCAACACAGACAAAAGAUUGGUCAUCAGCUAACCUCAGGACACAGCUCACCUCCAUUUUCUCAGAUACACCUAUGGCAGUAAAUCUUCAAAUUCUGGGGUAUGUUUUACACUCACUGAAAAAAUGAGGUUGCACCACCUACAUUCCAGGUGCUCGAUAGUGACAUGUGACCUGGGGACCCCAGUGGACAGCACAGACUCAAUGAACCUGCUGUUCUAGAUGCUACUUUUAGGGUAAUUUGUUAUGGCAGCAAUGCAAAGGAAAUACACACCAACGCACACACAGUCCCACGUCAUGGGUGUCUUUUCCUCAUUGUUUAUUUCAACAAGGAUUUCAAAAAGUAGAAAAAUAAACAUUUUCCUGGAGGUGAGUUGGAUUUACAUACACAAAUACAUAAAUAGCGACUGG
rnacentral:lncRNA from 10 species